ACGAACGCUGGCGGCGUGCUUAACACCUGCAAGUCGAACGAAGAGCGAUGGAAGCUUGCUUCUAUCAAUCUUAGUGGCGAACGGGUGAGUAACGCGUAAUCAACCUGCCCUUCAGAGGGGGACAACAGUUGGAAACGACUGCUAAUACCGCAUACGAUCUAACCUCGGCAUCGAGGAUAGAUGAAAGGUGGCCUCUACAUGUAAGCUAUCACUGAAGGAGGGGAUUGCGUCUGAUUAGCUAGUUGGAGGGGUAACGGCCCACCAAGGCGAUGAUCAGUAGCCGGUCUGAGAGGAUGAACGGCCACAUUGGGACUGAGACACGGCCCAGACUCCUACGGGAGGCAGCAGUGGGGAAUCUUCCGCAAUGGACGAAAGUCUGACGGAGCAACGCCGCGUGAGUGAUGACGGCCUUCGGGUUGUAAAGCUCUGUUAAUCGGGACGAAAGGCCUUCUUGCGAAUAGUGAGAAGGAUUGACGGUACCGGAAGAGAAAGCCACGGCUAACUACGUG
rnacentral:rRNA from 1 species